UAACCUGCCCAAGAGAUCGGGAUAACACCUGGAAACAGAUGCUAAUACCGAAUAACAACAGAUGAUGCCUAUCAACUGUUUAAAAGAUGGUUCUGAUAUCACUCUUGGAUGGACCUGCGGUGCAUUAGCUAGUUGGUAGGGUAACGGCCUACCAAGGCGAUGAUGCAUAGCCGAGUUGAGAGACUGAUCGGCCACAUUGGGACUGAGACACGGCCCAAACUCCUACGGGAGGCAGCAGGC
rnacentral:rRNA from 1 species